GCUGGGCAUGGUGGCGCAUGCCUGUAAUCCCAGCUACUUGGGAGGCUGAGGCAGGGGAAUCACUUGAACUCGGGAGUUGGAGGUUGCAGUGAGCCAAGAUGCACCACUGUACUUCAGCCUGGGCAACAGAGUGAGACUCCAUCUCAA
rnacentral:SRP_RNA from 1 species